CGUCUACCAUUCCAGUCUUCAAUAUUAUCGUUUAUAUGCUCUGUUAAAAAAAAAAAACUCAACUCUUGUGAUAUUCUCUCCAUAUCUCUUGGGUAAUGGAAAAAUCUCAAUUCCGACUAUGUCAGGUCUAAGUCAUACAUUUGCAAAGCCCAACCUGAGGAUGCAUCAACUCUUUUUUUGUAUCUAUGUAAAUUAUAUGUACAGUAUCGUUUUCCAAAACAUGGCUCCUUAAUGUUCACACAUAUAUAUGUAUAUAUAUGUGUGUGUAUAUAUAUAAAAUGUGUGUGCUACAAUCUUGUUCCCUUGAACUCAAUCGUCCUAAUUAAAAUAUUUUACUAUUCAAA